rnacentral:rRNA from 1 species
GGCGAACGCUGGCGGCGUGCUUAACACAUGCAAGUCGAACGAUGAAGCCGGAGCUUGCUCUGGUGAAUUAGUGGCGAACGGGUGAGUAACACGUGAGUAACCUGCCCUUGACUCUGGGAUAACUGCGGGAAACUGUAGCUAAUACCGGAUACGACCCUCGGAGGCAUCUCCUGGGGGUGGAAAGAAUUUCGGUCAAGGAUGGACUCGCGGCCUAUCAGCUAGUUGGUGAGGUAAAGGCUCACCAAGGCGACGACGGGUAGCCGGCCUGAGAGGGUGACCGGCCACACUGGGACUGACACACUGCCCAGACUCCAACGGGAGGCAGCAGUGGGGAAUAUUGCACAAGGGGCGCAAGCCUGAUGCAGCAACGCCGCGUGAGGGAUGACGGCCUUCGGGUUGUAAACCUCUUUUAGCAGGGAAGAAGCGAAAGUGACGGUACCUGCAGAAAAAGCACCGGCUAACUACGUGCCAGCCGCCGCCGUAA